GACAGAGGUCCCGAGCGUUAGGCGGAAUCACUGGGCUUAAAGCGUGUGUAGGCGGAUCGUUAAGUGCCUUGUGAAAUCCCAUGGCUUAACCAUGGAACUGCUUGGCAUACCGGCGAUCUUGAGCCACUUAGGGGCAACCGGAACAAAUGGUGGAGCGGUGAAAUGCGUAGAUAUCAGGAGGAACACCAGCGGCGAAGGCGGCGCUCUGGGCCGGAACUGACGCUGAGGAGCGAAAGCGUGGGUAGCAAACAGG
rnacentral:rRNA from 1 species